rnacentral:rRNA from 1 species
AAAGGAAUUGACGGGGGCCCGCACAAGCGGUGGAGUAUGUGGUUUAAUUCGACGCAACGCGAAGAACCUUACCAAGGCUUGACAUUGAGUGCAAGGCUUAGAGAUAAGCCCCUCUCUUCGGAGACACGAAAACAGGUGGUGCAUGGCUGUCGUCAGCUCGUGUCGUGAGAUGUUGGGUUAAGUCCCGCAACGAGCGCAACCCUUAUCCUAUGUUACCAGCAUUGAGUUGGGGACUCAUAGGAGACUGCCAGGGAGAACCUGGAGGAAGGCGGGGAUGACGUCAAGUCAUCAUGCCCCUUAUGUCUUGGGCUACACACGUACUACAAUGGUCGGCAACAGAGAGCAGCGAACCCGCGAGGGGGAGCGAACCUCAAAAACCCGAUCCCAGUUCGGAUCGCAGGCUGCAACCCGCCUGCGUGAAGUCGGAAUCGCUAGUAAUCGCAGGUCAGCAUACUGCGGUGAAUACGUUCCCGGGCCUUGUACACACCGCCCGU